rnacentral:lncRNA from 1 species
GGCGAAACUACAGUGCAGACGGGACAGUUAAAGACACGGGCGGCGCGGCGCGGCGCGGAGCAGCGCAGGGCUGAGGCCGGCCGGUGAGCAGGGCGCGUUCAGGGCGCCGGGAUGGAAGAUGAGGCUGCGCCCACAACCGGAUCAAAACCCACGGCAUCAGGUGUGGCAGCAGUGACUGACUGCUGAUCGCUGGAUUGUAGACCAUCAUGCUUCUGCUGAAAGGAUC